rnacentral:lncRNA from 1 species
CAGAAUGCAAUUACAGCUGCUGCAUUUGUAACCACUACUGCACUCAUUUGGAGGGAAAGAAACCACAUUCGAUUUGAAGGAGCUGCUUUUGUGGAGGAAUCGACAUGCAGAGAAAUUGCCUUACUCCUACAUCUUAGAGGCAGGAAAUGCAAAGACUGGCUGACUGGAUUGAGAAAGCUAAACUGUUUCCCUUAGCUAGUAUACUUAGUCUUCAUAUGAUUUCUACUUGUGUAUAGAUAGUCAAGAAUGUAGAGUUUUUUUUUGAGACAGUGUAGUAGUUAGUCCAUACUACUA